rnacentral:rRNA from 1 species
UACGGAGGGGGCGAGCGUUAUUCGGAAUUAUUGGGCGUAAAGGGCGCGUAGGCGGCUCUAUAAGUCAAAGGUGAAAUCCCUCGGCUCAACUGAGGAACUGCCUUUGAAACUGUUGGGCUUGAGGCCGGGAGAGGGUAGUGGAAUUCCCAGUGUAGCGGUGAAAUGCGUAGAUACUGGGAGGAACACCAGUGGCGAAGGCGGCUACCUGGACCGGUUCUGACGCUGAGAAGCGAAAGCAUGGGGAGCGAACAGG